GACGAACGCUGGCGGCGUGCCUAAUACAUGCAAGUAGGACGCAGUUGCGAACGGGUGAGUAACGAGUAGGUCACUGCCUAUGAGUGGGGGAUAACUAUUGGAAACGAUAGCUCAUAACGCCUACUAGUAGAUGGACCUGCGGUGUAUUAGCUAGUAGGUAGGGUAAUGGCCUACCUAGGCGACGGUACAUAGCCGACCCUGGAGGGGGGACGGCCCACACGGGACUGAGACACGGCCCAGACUCCUACGGGAGGGCGCAGGAGGGAAGUUUCGUCAAUGGGGGGAACCCUUACCGAGCAACGCCGGGGGAGUGAAGAAGGGUUUCGGAUCUGAAAGCUCCGUUGUUCAGGGAGCGGUACUUAACCAGAAAGGGACGGCUAACUCCGUGCCAGCAGCCGCGGUAAUUC
rnacentral:rRNA from 1 species